AUGCAGGACAAUCUGUCAUGAAGUAGGGAUAAUUUACUCUAAAAUUAAUACUAUAUAGUUUUCUCUGAAAAGCGUCGUAU
rnacentral:pre_miRNA from 1 species